rnacentral:rRNA from 1 species
UGCGCAGGCGGACUAAUAAGUCAGAGGUGAAAGCCCACAGCUUAACUGUGGAACUGCCUUUGAUACUGUUAGUCUUGAGUGCAGUUGAGGUAGGCGGAAUGUGUUAUGUAGCGGUGAAAUGCUUAGAUAUGACACAGAACACCAAUCGUGAAGACAGCUUACCAAGCUGCUACUGACGCUCAGGCACGAAAACGUGGGGAGCGAACAGGAUUAGAUACCCUGGUAGUCC